UAGGAUUAAAGGCAUGUGCCACCACGCCAGG
rnacentral:piRNA from 1 species